rnacentral:rRNA from 1 species
UACGGAGGGGGCUAGCGUUGUUCGGAAUUACUGGGCGUAAAGCGCACGUAGGCGGAUUGUUAAGUCAGGGGUGAAAUCCUGGAGCUCAACUCCAGAACUGCCUUUGAUACUGAGGAUCUUGAGUUCGGGAGAGGUGAGUGGAACUGCGAGUGUAGAGGUGAAAUUCGUAGAUAUUCGCAAGAACACCAGUGGCGAAGGCGGCUCACUGGCCCGAUACUGACGCUGAGGCACGAAAGCGUGGGGAGCAACAGG